rnacentral:misc_RNA from 1 species
AAGGAUUGUUUCGGUUUUUGGUUGCUUGCUUGGCCUUGUUGCCAAGGGGGUGGCUGUUAGCCGGGUGGUCUUUGGGGAUGUCGACCGUAAAGGUGCAUGAGUGGUGAUUGGUUUGUUACAGGUGGUUGGAUGUCUGUUUGUGCAGCAACUUCCACGUGUUCAUACCUCUUCAGUUAUGUUACAAGCCUUUAUUAGUCUUGUGCAUCGGUUGGGUUUCUUGUGUUACAUACCUAAUCAAGGGCAUCGUGUGGCUAGAUCUAAGUUGCAAUUCGUAAUGCGUCUCUUAUGGCGUUGAACGAACCUCAAAGCGGUCUCUAUGGUCCAUACUGUUGUUGCCCAUGUAGUGAUGGCAUGGCCGUUGGAGCGUCGCUUGGCCUCUUGCAUACRGAACCUGUUGUGGGCUGUAGGGUCAUUCAUGAUUCUAUUUUUGCCCUUGUUGAGCGUUCUCGCUUCUCUAAACGACCGUCUGUCAUGUGUCGACAUGUUCGUGCAUGGUGGGUUGUGUCGAAGAGGAAUGC